AAAAUCCCACGUGGGUAUAAAAAAAAAACAGGUUCAUGUCACCUCACGGGCUCCGUAGUUUUUAUACUUUAUUGUUUCAGUUAAUGUUUUUGGUGCACAGAUGCAUUUCUUGAUCUUUCAAAAUAUCUAACUUUUUGUUUUUUUUUUUGGCUUUUGUCUGCCUUUACCCAUUCAAAAAAUAAAAAAGCCUUAUAAUAUAAAUCAUGAUGUAGAUAAAUGGCAUAGCCUACUGAACUAAAUGUUGAGAAGCCUGCCCUUUUAAAGAUUAGUCACAUAUUUACCCUUUUUUACUCUACAUGAGUCCACAUGUAGCUAUCUAUUCACUCCAGUGAAAUAUAAUGCAUUAAUGGAGAUAGACCAUUCAUCCAGUCAGAUUUUGUUUUGCAGUUUUACAUUCCAGUGUUACAAUAUUCAACAGAUGGUUCAUCUAAAAUUUUAAUUUCAUAUUUGCACAGUUUAGCCGAUGUCCUCUAAUUUAUUUAAUUGGAGUCCAUCAUUUUUCAACUUGCUUUUCAUUCAAAUUAAUUUUAAGUAUUAGGCUACCUUUUCCAUGCUACUAUAUGUCCUACACUCUCUUACCACUUUUCCAACUAGAGUGUUUUUCUUUCCUUCUUGUUUUUGCUGUCGUACUUUUAUUCCCAGCAUACCCAAAAAAUGUCGCUUGUGUAGAUACAGUAGAGGAUGGUUAAAUUCAGCCAUUAAUUGGUGCAUCACAAGACAUUUUAGCGAUGCAUUUGAUCUCAUGGUUUGUCAAGAUAGUGGUAGCACAACAUUUCAAUAUGUAUUUUUAAUAUGAAGUUCUUCUAACUCUUUGAUUAAUUCAGUUUGUCCAGAGUUUUAUGCAGUGCAAAGGCUUAAACGUGAUCAAGGAUCUUCACAUAACAGAAAUCAUAGCAUAACACUUAAAAUAAUUCACACAGUGGUUUUUGGGUAAAAUAGUGUAUGUUUAGGGCUACUGUGUUUGGAUUUACGCAGAAAAAGAUUAACAUUUAUGUUAAUUUGGCCACAAAGUAUCACUAUUUCCUUCGGGUUGGUCCUAGGGGGGCUCAGGUUUUCUUAGAUACAAGUGUGGGGCUCAAAGGCAAAAAGGAACCACUGUUCUAGAUGUAUUUAAACUUUUAUUAUAUAUAGCCAUUAGCCACUGUAGUUGAUAAUAAGACAUACACAUAAGAAAAAUUAUGAAAUAGUGAUAAUCAUGGAAAAGAAAAUCCCACUGACAGCGUCAUUAAGUCUUGAUUUAAAUGUCUGACCAGCUUUGAAGGAAGUAAAGUACGACUAUAUGGGGCUGUCUGCCUGUUAAGAGACACUGUCAGGCAUAACAGCUGUUCUUGGGGAAACCCUGUACACUGAAAGUGGAUUUUUUCCUAAAGCAGACAAGGUGAAGUCUCCUGUUCAGUGUUAACACCUAGGUUCUGGAUUUAUUUUAACAGCAAGACACACUAACACCACUGGUAGGCUGCCAGACUGCUCUAUGCCUGCCUGCUUGUUUGGAAUAACUAUUUCAAAUAUUUAUAUUCUGCUCAUGACCCUCCUCUUAACGCAGUUUUUUUUCAUGUGAUUUUUAUCGCAGAUCGCACGGAGAUACUGUGAGCUUAAUUUAUAUCCCUGUGAAACAGAUUUUUUUGGUCCUGUUCCAAAUAUCAAAUUCUUUCAGAAAGGUGAGAGGAGAACUGUGCACUCAAACUGUUGGAUAUCAAUAUUGUGCAAUCUCUCAUCCGCCUCCACUACCUCCUACUGCAGGGUUAGGGGAGGAGAUGCAACAGACAGCUGAUAUUUCACUCCUCAAACUAUAACCGUCAGUGUUGUCUAAAAGCAUUUAUCAGAUGUGAAAGAUAUUUAAAUGACUUUCAAAUACUGCAUGUCCUUGAUUUUCUGAUAAAACAGAAAUGCUUUUCUUUCAAUUCAUAUGUGAUCAUUGGCUGUAGCAUUUUGAGAGAUUCCAGCUGAGUCCAACAGAAAUUACUAAUUCAUUGCUGGUAUUGUUUGUCCUUUGUAUUUGUGUUCUUCAUCCCAAGCAACAUCACAGUGGAAACAAAGAUUAUAAAUACUACAGUGACAAUGAUUCUUCCACUGUAAGAUCAAGAAAUAUACGAUGAUGUUCAGGUCAGUGUGUCACUGAAAUCCUCUUUUUUUGUAGCACAAAUGUUUGCAUUGUCCUUUGUCUGUGUCAGAUGUUUAGCUAUGCUAAUGACACAGCGAGGUAAUAAAAUGAAGAUUUUUUAUUCAGUAAAGAGUCAAAACACUAGAUUAUGAACAAGAUCCUUUUUAGUGUAUUUUGGAGGCAAAAGAGCAGUACUGGUCCUUUGUAGGGAUAGCAUAAUUUUGCUACUUAGUUGGUUUCAUGUGCCCAAGACCUUCACCUUUUGACAUUCACUGUUUCAUGACAGGAAUAGUGAUUAUCUUUAUUGCCACUGCUAAAUUAAUGAUGUCCAUUAAUUCAAUGCAACACCUUUGGCUGUAUUGAUGCUCGCAUGUUUGAGUAUAUACACAAUAUUUUAUUAUGGUGCUCUAUGUGAUGCAAUAACCAGUCUCAUUAAGUGCCAUAAUAAAAUGCGGUGUGACUGACCUCUACAACCAAAUAGGACACCCUUAACUACAGACACGACUUAUGUAAAUAACUGUUGUAUAGUUUACAUCCUUUUUUAAUUCACAAUGUUGUAGUAAAUUUUAUGACAAAGCAAUUUUAAUGCAGUCCCUGGCUUUUCAGUUAUGCUAUAUUUACUACUCCUAAUCUUGUAACACCAGUAAAUAAACCAAUGAGUACAUUCAAAGGAUGUAGCUGUAUACCUUAAGUAAUAAGAGAGACCUGAAUAUUGCAACUGCAUAUACUCACAGACUCUCUCUUGUAUCUACCGUAUGAUUUUUUUUUUGUCCAAAGACAUGCAAUUUUAUCCAAAUCAAGUGAAUUUGAUGUAUUUCUUAUGUAGAAUACUCGAGUUAUUUUCAGGACAUGUCUAGAAAGUCUAGCUACACUAUAAAAAUAGACCUAUUAAAGUGAGAUAUGAUCUGAUGUAUAGUAACAAGCCAUCACACUGGGUGACCUCUUUUAUUUUUGUAGGAGUCAAGGACACCAUCUGGCUGCACUUGCCGUGACAUAUGAGAUGUCAGAUGUCAGAGCAGUGAGAUUCUCUACCCUGGUGUCCAUGAACGGACGGCAAGUGGAGAUGCAGCCUCUUAAUGUGGCAAGAACCAGACCGUGCUGCAGGUGACUCUCCUUUGACCUCCUUAACGAAGAUCUCUCCAUCAGUUGUCCGUUCAAUGGUCAACCCAGUUUUGUCUGGACCCUCCCAGUCUGGAAAGAGCACUUCUCUGGUUUCCUCCUCU